GGGAGUCGGUCUCCCGAAGUCGGCGUACAGGCGUUGGCUUCAAACCGCUGCGGUGCUGCUGCGCUAAAGAGGCGUGGUGGUGAGCGACUGUAGAAAAGGCGUUCAAAGAGAACGUCAGGU
rnacentral:ncRNA from 1 species